rnacentral:rRNA from 1 species
AUUGAACGCUGGCGGCAGGCCUAACACAUGCAAGUCGAGCGGAUGAAGGGAGCUUGCUCCUGGAUUCAGCGGCGGACGGGUGAGUAAUGCCUAGGAAUCUGCCUGGUAGUGGGGGAUAACGUCCGGAAACGGGCGCUAAUACCGCAUACGUCCUGAGGGAGAAAGUGGGGGAUCUUCGGACCGCACGCUAUCAGAUGAGCCUAGGUCGGAUUAGCUAGUUGGUGGGGUAAAGGUCUACCAAGGCGACGAUCCGUAACUGGUCUGAGAGGAUGAUCAGUCACACUGGAACUGAGACACGGUCCAGACUCCUACGGGAGGCAGCAGUGGGGAAUAUUGGACAAUGGGCGAAAGCCUGAUCCAGCCAUGCCGCGUGUGUGAAGAAGGUCUUCGGAUUGUAAAGCACUUUAAGUUGGGAGGAAGGGCAGUAAGUUAAUACCUUGCUGUUUUGACGUUACCAACAGAAUAAGCACCGGCUAACUUCGUG